rnacentral:lncRNA from 1 species
UGUUGGAGAUUUGUCUUCUGAACUUUAGUAGUGACCUUAACCAGCAGCGGUUGUUAGAGAUUUGUCUUCUGAACUUUACUAAAGAAGUAAGGUAGCAUAUGUGCAGCAGCGUGUAAGGUGUAGUCUGUCCAAAACUGGGAGGGGGUGCGCUAUCCACCGUGCCUAGCUUGCAUUGUUGUGUCGGUGAGACGGUGAUAUAUAUUAGUGGGUCCCUGGCCGGCCUGUGUUUGCAUGCAUGCAUGCAAUCAUUUACCACACUGACACACACAUUAUAUCCACUGUUUGGCACACAAGAUACACACACGCAUACCAGUGGCGGAGCCAGGAUUUCGCAGCUGGGUAUUCCACGUAUAAAAAAUUUUCAAUAUAUAUGUGCAAUAGUAAUAGGGGACAAAAUCAAUACAAAAUUGAUCCUGAUGCACAGCUCAAGUAGUACAUAUAAUUUUCUUAAAAUAUAUGCUAGAUAAAAUAUUUGUUUAUCCUGGAAAUAAGGCAUCAGGCAAAGUGAGCCUAGUGUCGCCCCUGGUAAUAGUCAAAGUAUAUAUAAAUUUUUUUAUCUAUGUUAGAAGAACAUAAUACAACAUUUCUUUAAAAAAAAUCAGAACGCAACAAAAAAAAGAAAACGAAACCUUCAAUUCUUACUUUGAAGAAUAAAAAAUAGAUGCCGAUACUAGUUGUUCUACUAGGCUUAGAGCAACUUCAAGAGUUUAACUAUUCUUGUUGUUUAUGCUAUUUUAGAAUUUGUAUAGCAAAAAGUAGACUCCAACUAAUAUGCUAUCCAAUUUUGUAAAAUAGGAAGUUGGCUUUCCCUUGAUUUUCGGUGGCUAUAUAUAGCUUACAGACGCUAACUGUAAGACUUAAAAUAAUAAUAUUGUUGU